UACGAAGGGGGCUAGCGUUGCUCGGAAUUACUGGGCGUAAAGCGCGCGCAGGCGGUUCUCCAAGUCAGUGGUGAAAGCCCAGGGCUCAACCCUGGAAUAGCCUUCGAUACUGGAUGUCUUGAGUUCGGGAGAGGUGAGUGGAAUGCCGAGUGUAGAGGUGAAAUUCGUAGAUAUUCGGCGGAACACCAGUGGCGAAGGCGACUCACUGGCCCGAUACUGACGCUGAGGCGCGAAAGCGUGGGGGAGCAAACAGGG
rnacentral:rRNA from 1 species